AUGUGCUACUGAGCAACCAUCCCAGUGCCGGGGGCAGCCACCUGCCAGACCUGACUGUUAUCACACCGGUGAGGGGUGCUGCCCGCCUGCCUCUGCUGGGGCAGGGGUGGCCAAUGCAGCUGACCGUGGCUCUCCACCCACUAGGUGUUUUGGCCGGGUCAGACGCGGCCUGUGUUCUAUGUGGCCAGCCGAGGGCACCACGCAGACAUCGGGGGCAUCACACCAGGCUCCAUGCCUCCCCACUCCACCAUGCUGCAACAGGAGGGUGCCGUCUUUCUGUCCUUCAAACUCGUCCAGGGGGGCGUCUUCCAGGAGGAGGCGGUGACGGAGGCCCUGCGGGCACCAGGCAAGGUCCCCAACUGUAGCGGAACCAGAAACCUGCACGACAACCUGUCGGACCUCCGUGCCCAGGUGGCAGCCAACCAGAAGGGCAUCCAGCUGGUGGGGGAGCUCAUUGGGCAGUACGGCCUGGACGUGGUGCAGGCCUACAUGGGUCAUAU
rnacentral:sRNA from 1 species